AUAAAAUCGAAGACGUCCGGCGGCAAAUUCGGAUAACAAUAAACCAAGAUGAACAGAGAAAGUGAGUUAGCAAGGCAGUUGCAAGAAUGGACGACACAAUAAAUGAACUUCAACUUACAGUCGUCCCACUCAGCAGCAUUUAUCCAGUGAAGUUGAGAGCCUUGUAAAGGACCAGGAUCCGCAAUAUGGCAAUGUGUGACGAGAGCACAUUAUUACAGCCUGCAUAUGGACGCUGAACAGUUGAGACAGUAAAUGGCAAGCUGGCAUUGUAUCCUCAUAUAAACUAUGAACACUGAAAAAAAGUUAAAGUUAAGAGUGAAGGUACCAUCAGGUUUUCAACAGCAAGCGCCAUAAGGUCACCCUCCCUGACUGCGUUACGGUUUGUGUGAAAUCUACUGAUGCCCUGGCACAGUAUCUGAAAUAUGUGCGGUGUCUCCACAACAGAUGGUGUGGUGCAUUGAAAAUAUCAUAGCAAUGUAACAGGUUCAAGUAUGAUGGUGGAGAAGUCAGGGAUCUGGCCAAAAAGCCGUCCGUUUACAAGAAUGUACAUCUGGUAUUGCAGAUAUUUGGACAACUGAAGGCCAGAUUGGAUGGCAUAUGUUAAAGCCAGCUGUAUGCCCGCAAGGAACAGUAAAACGUACACUUUUCAGCCAUCCUGUGACACUCGAUCAACCAGACGGCUUCCACAUCUAUCCAGUGGGCAUGUGAGUUGACACUACGGUGGCCGCUCAACCAUGACACAAUUGAUCAAUCACAGCUCGAGUUCAGCCGAUGUUCACGAAACAUAGAAAGGGAAUGGUCUACUUUAGAGGUCACGUUGCUUACCAUUUUAAGCAAACACCACAGAAAGGUACUGACAAGGGAGACAAUUGCUGAUGUAAUAAGCUACACGAGCAGUGCCUACAGUACAGGAAGAAGACUAUGAUGAAAAGCAUUCUAUUUGGUGGCGCUGAACUGACAUGUGGAAAAAUAUCAGAGCACAGAUGGCCAGACUGGAUAGGGACACACCAGAAGAGAGAUUUGUAAAUCUCACUGGAGGCUGUUGGAAGAUCCCAGAAUGUGACUACUGGAAUGAUUCAACACACAUGUAAAAGUGAUGAUGAAGAAAGUUGGGUCAAGUCAUUCUGUGAGCAUGGUUGAUAAAACAGGGAAUACUAUCACAUUGACCAAGUUCACUCAAAACCAACGAAAAGAACUCCAAGAUACACUUCGACUAUUUUAGGCUUAAACUAAUUUAGGCCUUUGGAUGCACAAAAGCUGCAUAUAAAGCUGCAUAUAAAGCUGCAUAUAUGUUAAAUCGAAAGAAAACAUAUUGUGUGAUCAACUAAACAGCCCUUGAAAGAGUCACAUGAUAUUAUUUACUGCUUGUGGUAUUUCAGCAUUUAAGUCCCUGGCAGUUAAGUAAAUACUGAAAUAUGAUGAUACUUCUACUCCAAUCAUGUAAUAGAAUAGCAAGAAAUAACAUAUAAUAAAUUUCUAUAACAGCAAUUUCUAUAAGUUACAGAACCCCUUAAGAAAAUUUAAUUGAAUAAGAUACCUAUUGAAACAAGUUAUUAUAUUGACAAAAAAGAAAGAAACUAAAGAAAAUGCCAUCUUUUUUAUAUCUUAGAAGUAAAAAACAAGUGUUGCUGAGUUUCAUUCAAGAUGCACUCUUACUCCCAAAUAAGAUUUACCAUAAUUAAUAGUAUUGUUUUAAUGUUCCAAAAAGGAGAAAUUAAUGUGAAAAACAAUGGUUCUUAUGAAGGAAACUGAGUUUAAUUUGAAAGAAAUAAGCAUAAAACACAGUAUAUCUACCUUAUGAGACUAUAGUAGACCACAGUAAAUCUUUUAUCAUUCACGAAUCAUUUAAUAUUUUUUGUGCUUCCUGCUAUUAAAUAGAUGGUUACAAUCUUGCUAUCAGUAAUCAAUAUUUUCAAUAAGUGGAUUAUUGAGUAAGUAUAUAAAGGUUUAUCAGUCAAAAUUGAUGUUUGUUAUACAUGUGUAUGUAUUGAUUUUGAAUAAUAGUGUCAUUUUAAUUGUUUGAAUUGUCACUUUUUCCCAGAUAUUAGAAGUAACCAUUCAUCACAUUAUUUUGUAAUUUACCAAGGCUUUUACACGUUUUAACCACUCAUGAAUGGUAAUGAUCAAGCAAAAUCGAUUGGAACUCUGCCUUUUCUGUAAAACAAUAUUUAUUCAUUCAUUCUCAUUCAUGUACUAUCAACAAAUAUUCUAUGUAAUUAUGUUUUACUGGUUGUAUACACAAUAUUUGGUGACGUUCAUACCAUUUUUGCGGUGAGUACAUUUAAAUUUAUACCGUACUUUUCAUAAUGUCAUACUAUAACAUUUAAAUGACAUAGGCAGUAGUUUACAGGGCUUCCAUUAAGAAUUUGAAACUGAAAGUAUGAACUUCCUGACCAUCAAUAUUGGAAGUUUUACAUUGAAAUUUGGAAGUUACAGUUUCCCUUAAUACAAUUUUUUCCAGUAUUUUUUAAAUAGUAUGUUAAAAAUCUAAUAAUUUAAAAUUAUAUCUUGCCAGAUUCACAGUUUUAUGUUAUAAUAAUUCAUUUUACUUCAAAACUGAUUGAAAUUGUGAGCAUAUUAGUAAUAUUGACACAAGGUUUUGAUAUUUUGAACUUCCAAGCGUUUGGCUUUGGAAGUUUUCUUCAAAAUUAUGGAAGUUUUUGUACUUCCAAGAAAUUAAGUUUGGAAGUUUUAAUCCAUUUUUAGGGAGUAGUAUACUUCCAAACUUCCUUUAACGGAAGCCCUGAGUUUAUAUAUUAAGAUGGUUACAAAAACAUGUUGUUAAUGAUGUAUUUGGGAUAUUGUUUACUUAAUACACCUGAAAGUCAAAGUCACACUAUGUCACACAAGUUUUUCCUUUGACCUCAUACUGUGUUUUAAACUUUGCAUAUCUUAGACUGUAAUUAAAACAUUAAUAAAUAGUCUUUCAAUGGUAAUAACUGUGUCUACAACUGCAUAACAAAGUAUAUUUGUAUUUAAAUUCCAAAAUUGUAAUGUUCAUGUCAUUAAUACAUAAUCUCACUACAUUAGCUCAUACAUGUUUUAUAUAUUGAAUUGUGGCCGAUUAUGUAGCUGGGUUUGUUUAUCUUUCUUUUAUUACAAGGGCAUUACAUCAUUUUUAUAACUUGCGCUCUUAUAUUAAAACAAAGGCACACAUGCAGUUAACAUGCAGUAGAGAGUAAAUUAUUCUUGUUUUUCACAUCCUUGAGAGUAAUGUAUAUACAUUUUGAAUUAUUAUGUCUCCCCCUCUCUGGGGGAGACAUAUUGUUUUUGCCCUGUCCGGUAGUCCGUCAGUCCGUCCGUACGUCACACUUCGUUUCCGAUCGAUAACUGGAAAAACGCAUGACCUAGGAUCACCAAACUUGGUAGGGAGGUUGGUCGUGGGGUGUAGAGGAUCCCUAUUGUUUUUGGGGUCACUAGGUCAAAGGUCAAGGUCGCGGCGACCCCCAAUAUAAAAAACAUUUCUGCUCAAAAUCUUGAGAACGGUUUGACCUAGAUUCACCAAACUUGGUAGGGAGGUUGGUCAUGAGGUGUAGAAGAUCCCUAUUGUUUUUGGGGUCACUAGGUCAAAGGUCAAGGUCGCGGCGACCCCCAAUGUAAAAAACAUUUCCGCUCAAUAUCUUGAGAAUGGUUUGACCUAGGUUCACCAAACUUGGUAGGGAGGUUGAUCAUGAGGUUUAGAAAACUCCUAUAUUUUGGGGGGUCACAAGGUCAAAGGUCAACGUCGCUGUGACCUCUAAUGUAAAAAAAUAUUUCCGUGCAAUAUCAGGAGAAUGCUUUGAUCUAGGUUCACCAAACUUUGAAGUGAGGUUGGUCAUGAUGUCUAAAUGAUCCCAAUUGUUUUGGGGGUAACAAGGUCAAUAGUCAAGGUCGUGGUGACCUUCCAUGUAAAAAUCAUUUGCGUGUAAUAUCUUUAUGUCUCCCCCAUUCAUGGGGAGACAUAUUGUUUUUGCCCUGUCCGUCAGUCAGUCCAUCAGUCUGUCAGUCAGUCAGUCAGUACGUCACACUUCGUUUCCGCCCAAUAACUAUAGAACUCUUAGACCCAGGAACUUCAUACUUGGUAUGCUAGUUGGUCAUGACUAGUAGAUGACCCCUAUUGAAUUUGGGGUCACUAGGUCAAAGAUCAGGGUCAACGUGACCUUGAGGUGAAGAAACGGUUUCCACUCAAUAACUAAAGAUCCUUUGGGUCCAGGAACUUCAUACUUGGUAUGCUAGUUGUUCAUGACUAUUAGAUGACUCCUAUUGAUUUUGAGAUCAAAAGGUCAAAGGUCAAGGUUACCUUCAGGUAAAAAAUGUUAUGUUGGCAGUGACCUUAAGCUUAAAAAUGGUUUCUGCUCAAUAACUAAAGAAAGCUUGUACCCAGGAACUUCAUAGUUGUUCAUGACUAGUAGAUGACUCCUAUUGAUUUUGAGAUCAGUAGGUCAAUGGUCAAGGUCACCGUGACCUUGAGGUAAAGAAACUGUUUCCGCUCAAUAACUAGAGAACGCUUGCAACCAGGAAUUUCAUACUUGGUAUGCUAGUUGGUCAUGACUAGAAGAUGACCCAUAUUGAUUUUGAGAUCACUAGGUCAAAGGUCAAGGUUGCCAUGACCUUGAAGUGAAGAAAAAGUUUCCGCUCAAUAACUAAAGAUCCUUUGGUUUCAGGAACUUCAUACUUGGUAAGCUUGUUGUUCAUGACUAGAAGAUGACCCCUAUUGAUUUUCAGAUCAAAAGGUCAAAGGUCAAGGUUACCUUCAGGUAAAAAAUGAUACGUUGGCGGUGACCUUAAGCUUAAAAAUGGUUUCUGCUCAAUAACUUAAGAACGCUUGUACCCAGGAACUUCAUUCUUGGUACGCUAGUCGGUCAUGACUAGUAGAUGACCCCUAUUGAUUUUGAGAUCAGUAGGUCAAAGGUCAAGGUUGCCAUGACCUUGAGUUGAAGAAAUGGUUACCGCUCAGUAACUAAAGAACACUUGCACCCAAGAACUUAAUACUUGGUAUGCAAGUUGGUUAUGUAGAUGAUCCCUAUUGAUGUUGUGAUCAGUAGGUAAAAGGUCAUGGUCACGAUGACUGUGAGCUGAAAAAUGGUUUCCGAUCAAUAAUUGAAUAACGCUUGCGCCCAGGAACUUCAUACAAUGCAAACUUCGUUUACAUUUUCCAUGAUUAAUCAACAACACUUUCUUCUCUUCACUAUUUAAUAUAAUCGAAUAAACCAAACUUCACUGUUGGUUUGUCUCCAGUCCAAAGUUACAAAUUUCAUGUCCAUCAUUUAUUUUUUCUCAGCUACGACCACACAAUAGGGGAGACAAGCGCUUUUUCAAAAAAGCAAUCUCUAGUUAAAUUACUCUUUUUGUCAGAAAAUAUGACAAUAUGAUGGUGUUUAAAAGGCUGUAUUGUAUGGUAAAUAUAAGUUACUACCAGUAUACUGUUUAACCUGUUAGUGUACAUAAAUUAUAUAUGAUAGAUGUUGAUUAAUUGCAUUUGUAUUUAGUCAGAAU